rnacentral:rRNA from 1 species
GGGCGAAAGCCUGAUGCAGCGACGCCGCGUGAGGGAUGACGGCCUUCGGGUUGUAAACCUCUUUCAGCAGGGAAGAAGCGAAAGUGACGGUACCUGCAGAAGAAGCGCCGGCUAACUACGUGCCAGCAGCCGCGGUAAUACGUAGGGCGCGAGCGUUGUCCGGAAUUAUUGGGCGUAAAGAGCUCGUAGGCGGUCUGUCGCGUCGGAUGUGAAAGCCCGGGGCUUAACCCCGGGUCUGCAUUCGAUACGGGCAGACUAGAGUGUGGUAGGGGAGAUCGGAAUUCCUGGUGUAGCGGUGAAAUGCGCAGAUAUCAGGAGGAACACCGGUGGCGAAGGCGGAUCUCUGGGCCAUUACUGACGCUGAGGAGCGAAAGCGUGGGGAGCGAACAGGAUUAGAUACCCUGGUAGUCCACGCCGUAAACGGUGGGAACUAGGUGUUGGCGACAUUCCACGUCGUCGGUGCCGCAGCUAACGCAUUAAGUUCCCCGCCUGGGGAGUACGGCCGCAAGGCUAAAACUCAAAGGAAUUGACGGGG